GUACUCGCUUCUACGGUACACAUACGAAAGUAGGAACGAGACAGAGAAGAUUAGCAUGGCCACUGCGCAAGGAUGACACGCAAAGUCUUGUAGCGUUCCACAUUUUU